AAGAAGUCAAUGAGAAACCAACUUGCCGCUUUGAUUCAUUCCAAUGUCAUACAGCCCAUCAUCAAUUGCCACAAAAACGCAGACCUCACAUCCCUGUGCUUGUGCUCCAGCUGCUGCGCGAGCGCCUGCCUCUCUCCCSUUCCUAUGAAGGUCAAGAAAGUGGGGAACGUAAACUGUUAUUUAGGCUUUACAUGACACAGCCAAGUGGCAAGCAUGCAAUCUCUCUUAUUUUCUUAUGGCAGAAGCUUUUCACAUGCACGUCGCAACUUCUAAGGAGUUGUAAGUGGUAGAGGAAUACUUGCCUCAGGGCUUCGCCAGCCAGGCGUGGUUGCCCGCUUUUGGCGCAGGUGGCCUCUUUGGAAUUAUGUUCCCAGUCUUCUUCCUCCCAUCACCUGUGUGGAAUACGAAGACCAUUUUCAGCAGGGCCAACACAAGGGGAGAGCAUCCUGUCCAUGUUCCCAACAAAUGUAGCAGAGCAGAACAGAGCAGACGCGAAAAUUCCAAUUGAAAAAGCUGUACACAAGCAGCAAAUCAUGCUCCUCACCACAACCUGCGUCGCUGCCUCUAGCACAGCCAUCUCUCUUACCCCUCUUGUCCCCUUUAUCACCCAUCUGUAACAAAAGUGCACAGCAAGUUGGCCAUGACAGAAGGCAUUGUGCACCAAACUCCACCCUCACCCUCAGCAUGACUGAGCAUGCUUGCGCAAGCCACAGCAGGCUACUAAAAAAAAAAGCUGCACACAAAAAGCAACUCAUGUGCAUGCUCCCUUGCACCUGUGCCUGUGUUGUUGCCGCCAGCACAGCCAUCGCUCCCGCCCCUUCCGUCUCGUUUGUUGCCUGAGUGUGCCAAAAGCGCACAGCAAGUUGACCAUGACAGAAGACAGUCACAACAAACUCUGCCCUCACUCUCAGCAUGACCCAAGCAAGCCGCAGCAGGCAACAGAAAAAAAAAGCUGCACGCAAAAGGCACACCAGGUAACAAGUAGGGAACCUCAUUUAUUUCCUUUUGGGAGAAGCUUCUCACGUGUGCGUUGCAACUCCUAACUACGUGGUACAGGACAACACUUUGCCUUAGGGCCAGCGAGCCAUGCUUGCCUUUAGGCGUGGGUGGCCCCUAUGGGGCAUCGUUCCCAUGCUUCCUCCUCCCAUCACCUGUAUGGAAUAAAAAGAAGGCAAAGUAAUGAGCCAAUCCUUAAAUUCCUAAAAAGGAUGCGCUUGAAGGGCAUGCAGUCACAGCAUGCAAAGCAGCCUCGUUCUACACAGUCUGAGCUUGCAUGGGAAUCCUAAAUC
rnacentral:lncRNA from 1 species